UUGGAGGGCAAGUCUGGUGCCAGCAGCCGCGGUAAUUCCAGCUCCAAUAGCGUAUAUUAAAGUUGUUGCAGUUAAAAAGCUCGUAGUUGAAUUUCGGGGUUAGUAGGUUGGUCAUGCCUCAGGUAUGUACUGAUCUUACUGAUUCCUCCUUCCUGAUGAACCGUAAUGCCAUUAAUUUGGUGUUGCGGGGAAACUGGACUGUUACUUUGAAAAAAUUAGAGUGUUUAAAGCAGGCUAACGCUUGAACACAUUAGCAUGGAAUAAUGAAAUAGGACGUUCGAUCCUAUUUUGUUGGUUUCUAGGAUUGACGUAAUGAUUAAUAGGGAUAGUUGGGGGCAUUAGUAUUCAAUUGUCAGAGGUGAAAUUCUUGGAUUUAUUGAAGACUAACUACUGCGAAAGCAUUUGCCAAGGAUGUUUUCAUUAAUCAAGGACGAAAGUUAGGGGAUCGAAGACGAUCAGAUACCGUCGUAGUCUUAACCAUAAACUAUGCCGACUAGGGAUCGGAUGAUGUUAAUUUUUUAAUGACUCAUUCGGCGCCUUACGGGAAA
rnacentral:rRNA from 1 species